rnacentral:rRNA from 1 species
AUUGAACGCUGGCGGCAGGCCUAACACAUGCAAGUCGAGCGGAGCGGCGGACGGGUGAGUAAUGCCUAGGAAUCUGCCUGGUAGUGGGGGAUAACGUCCGGAAACGGGCGCUAAUACAGCAUACUAUCAGAUGAGCCUAGGUCGGAUUAGCUAGGUGGUGGGGUAACGGCCUACCAAGGCGACGAUCCGUAACUGGUCUGAGAGGAUGAUCAGUCACACUGGAACGGGGACACUGUCCAGAAUCCUACGGGAGGCAGCAGUUGGGAAUAGUGGACAAUGGGCGAUAGCCUGAUCCAGCCAUGCCGCGUGUGUGAAGAGGGUCUUCGGAUUGUAAAGCACUUUAAGUUGGGAGGCGUUACCAACAGAAUAAGCACCGGCUAACUUCGUGCCAGCAGCCGCGGUAAUAC